CAUUCUCAAACCUUCUUGGUUUCUCGACCGGGAAGGCUUUGGACUUUGGAGGCUUUUGCUGACCUUCCUUUGUUGGAACCAGCUCCUCUGAAAUGAAUUAGUAGGGUCUACUUUGCCGAUCCUUGACGUGAUAAAAUGUUUUCUACGUCUCGGGUUUCGCAUGCACUGUUUUGUCCUGGACCUUGCUUCCAACCGUCUCUCAGAAGACAGAUGGUCGAGUGAUCGUCACUCGACCCACGAA
rnacentral:misc_RNA from 1 species